GUCGUCAGCUCGUGUUGUGAAAUGUUGGGUUAAGUCCCGCAACGAGCGCAACCCUUAUCCUUUGUUGCCAGCGAUUCGGUCGGGAACUCAAAGGAGACUGCCAGUGAUAAACUGGAGGAAGGUGGGGAUGACGUCAAGUCAUCAUGGCCCUUACGAGUAGGGCUACACACGUGCUACAAUGGCAUAUACAAAGAGAAGCGACCUCGCGAGAGCAAGCGGACCUCAUAAAGUAUGUCGUAGUCCGGAUUGGAGUCUGCAACUCGACUCCAUGAAGUCGGAAUCGCUAGUAAUCGUGGAUCAGAAUGCCACGGUGAAUACGUUCCCGGGCCUUGUACACACCGCCCGUCACACCAUGGGAGUGGGUUGCAAAAGAAGUAGGUAGCUUAACCUUCGGGAGGGCGCUUACCACUUUGUGAUUCAUGACUGGGGUGAAGUCGUAACAAGGUAACCGUAGGGGAACCUGCGGUUGGAUCACCUCCUU
rnacentral:rRNA from 1 species